UGACCAUUUCUUUAUCGGCACCGCCGGUAAAGGGACAGAAUGCCAUACGGACAGCUAGGUCAAAUGCCGG
rnacentral:sRNA from 12 species